AGCGAACGCUGGCGGCAGGCUUAACACAUGCAAGUCGAGCGGGCACUUUCGGGUGUCAGCGGCGGACGGGUGAGUAACGCGUGGGAACGUGCCCUCUGGUUCGGAAUAACUCAGGGAAACUUGAGCUAAUACCGGAUACGCCCUUUUGGGGAAAGGCUUGCUGCCGGAGGAUCGGCCCGCGUCUGAUUAGCUAGUUGGUGAGGUAACGGCUCACCAAGGCGACGAUCAGUAGCUGGUCUGAGAGGAUGAUCAGCCACACUGGGACUGAGACACGGCCCAGACCCCUACGGGAGGGAGGAGGGGGGAAUAUUGGACAAGGGGCGAAAGCCUGAUCCCGCCAUGCCGGGUGGGGGAGGAAGGCCUUGGGGUUGUAAAGCUCUUUUAUCCGGGACGAUAAUGGCGGUACCGGAGGAAUAAGCCCCGGCUAACUUCGU
rnacentral:rRNA from 1 species